rnacentral:rRNA from 1 species
GAUGAACGCUGGCGGCGUGCCUAAUACAUGCAAGUCGAGCGAACGGACGAGAAGCUUGCUUCUCUGAUGUUAGCGGCGGACGGGUGAGUAACACGUGGAUAACCUACCUAUAAGACUGGGAUAACUUCGGGAAACCGGAGCUAAUACCGGGUAAUAUUUUGAACCGCAUGGUUCAAAAGUGAAAGACGGUCUUGCUGUCACUUAUAGAUGGAUCCGCGCUGCAUUAGCUAGUUGGUAAGGUAACGGCUUACCAAGGCAACGAUGCAUAGCCGACCUGAGAGGGUGAUCGGCCACACUGGAACUGAGACACGGUCCAGACUCCUACGGGAGGCAGCAGUAGGGAAUCUUCCACAAUGGGCGAAAGCCUGACGGAGCAACGCCGCGUGAGUGAUGAAGGUCUUCGGAUCGUAAAACUCUGUUAUUAGGGAAGAACAUAUGUGUAAGUAACUGUGCACAUCUUGACGGUACCUAAUCAGAAAGCCACGGCUAACUACGUG